rnacentral:rRNA from 1 species
UCGGGAAUUUUGCGCAAUGGACGAAAGUCUGACGCAGCAACGCCGCGUGAGGGAUGACGGCCUUCGGGUUGUAAACCUCUUUAUCAGGGAAGAUAAUGACGGUACCUGAUGAAUAAGUCACGGCUAACUACGUGCCAGCAGCCGCGGUAAUACGUAGGUGACAAGCGUUGUCCGGAUUUACUGGGCGUAAAGAGCGCGCAGGCGGUCGAUCAAGUCGAGUGUGAAAGCCCCCGGCUCAACUGGGGAGGGUCAUUCGAUACUGAUCGACUCGAAGGCAGGAGAGGGUAGUGGAAUUCCCGGUGUAGUGGUGAAAUGCGUAGAUAUCGGGAGGAACACCAGUGGCGAAGGCGACUACCUGGCCUGUUCUUGACGCUGAGGCGCGAAAGCUAGGGGAGCAAACGGGAUUAGAUACCCCCGGUAGUCCCUAGCCGUAAACGAUGGACUACUAGGUGUUGGUGGUAUCAACCCCGCCAGUGCCGAAGCUAACGCA